UACGAAGGGGACUAGCGUUGUUCGGAAUUACUGGGCGUAAAGCGCACGUAGGCGGAUUUGUAAGUCAGGGGUGAAAUCCCGGGGCUCAACCUCGGAACUGCCUUUGAUACUGCAAAUCUCGAGUCCGGAAGAGGUGAGUGGAAUUCCUAGUGUAGAGGUGAAAUUCGUAGAUAUUAGGAAGAACACCAGUGGCGAAGGCGACUCACUGGUCCGGUACUGACGCUGAGGUGCGAAAAGCGUGGGGAGCAAACAGGG
rnacentral:rRNA from 1 species